UACAGAGGGGGCGAGCGUUGUUCGGAAUUACUGGGCGUAAAGGGCGCGUAGGCGGCCCGCUAAGUCGGACGUGAAAUCCCCAGGCUUAACCUGGGAACUGCGUCCGAUACUGGCAGGCUUGAAUCCGGGAGAGGGAUGUGGAAUUCCAGGUGUAGCGGUGAAAUGCGUAGAUAUCUGGAGGAACACCGGUGGCGAAGGCGGCAUCCUGGACCGGUAUUGACGCUGAGGCGCGAAAGCUAGGGGAGCAAACGGG
rnacentral:rRNA from 1 species